rnacentral:rRNA from 1 species
CAGCAGCCGCGGUAAUACGGGAGGGGCAAGCGUUAUCCGGCAUGACUGGGCGUAAAGAGUCCGUAGACUGUAAAGUAAGUUUUUCGUUAAAUUUUAAAACCUAAUUUUAAAAAACAACUAAUACUGCUUUGCUUUGAGUUUGAUACGGAAGAGUGGAAUUUUAUACGAAAGGGUGAAAUCUGUAGAUAUAUAAAGGAAUACCGAAAGCGAAGGCGACUCUUUAGUACAAACUGACGUUGAGGGACGAAAGUGUGGGUAGCAAACAGGAUUAGAGACCCUGGUAGUCCACGACACUGUAAAUUCUGAGUGCUGUAAUUUAAUCGUAGUACUAAAUUUAGAAACUACUUAGAUUUUCAAGCUAACGCAAUAAGCACUCCGCCUGAAGAGUACGAUCGCAAGAUUGGAACUCAAAGGAAUUGACGGGGGUCUAACACUAGUGGUGGAGCAUGUGGUUUAAUGCGAUAAUCCGCGCAAAACCUUACCAAUUCUUGACAUAUUCAAAUUGUUAUUCUAAUUAAUAAUGCAUUUAAGUUUAACAGUUUUUUUACAGGUGUUGCACGACUGUCGUCAGCUCGUGUCGUGAGAUGUUUGGUUAAGUCCUGAAACGGGCGUAACUCUUAUCUUUAAAUUAUAAGCUUCCCAAACUAAUAAAAUUCUAACUUGCUGUAGCCUAAUCGUCGGGGAUACUAGGGAAACGGACGAAGUUUGAUGACGGGUUUCGUGUGGGUGCUUUUGCGAAACCCGUCAGCAAACUUCGUCCGUGGCUCUUUAUAUCGCGCAGUAAAUUAGAACUUUUUUAAAUGCUUUAAAGAUACUGUCAACAAUAAGUUGAAGGAAGGUAAGAAUUAAGUCAAGUCAAUGUGACCCUAAUGAAUUGGGCUACACAUGUGCUACAAUGAAAAUUACAAAAAGUGACAAAAAAGAAAUUUUGAGUUAAUCAACAAAAAUUUUCCCAGUUCGGAUUGUAGACUGCAACUCGUCUACAUGAAGUUGGAAUCACUAGUAAUCGCAAAUCAGCACGUUGCGGUGAACAUG